GACGAACGCUGGCGGCGUGCUUAACACAUGCAAGUCGAACGGAAAGGCCCUGCUUUUGUGGGGUGCUCGAGUGGCGAACGGGUGAGUAACACGUGAGUAACCUGCCCUUGACUUUGGGAUAACUUCAGGAAACUGGGGCUAAUACCGGAUAGGAGCUCCUGCUGCAUGGUGGGGGUUGGAAAGUUUCGGCGGUUGGGGAUGGACUCGCGGCUUAUCAGCAUGUUGGUGGGGUAGUGGCUUACCAAGGCUUUGACGGGUAGCCGGCCUGAGAGGGUGACCGGCCACAUUGGGACUGAGAUACGGCCCAGACUCCUACGGGAGGCAGCAGUAGGGAAUAUUGCACGAUGGGCGGAAGCCUGAUGCAGCAACGCCGCGUGCGGGAUGACGGCCUUCGGGUUGUAAGCCGCUUUCGCCUGUGACGAAGCGUGAGUGACGGUAAUGGGUAAAGAAGCACCGGCUAACUACGUG
rnacentral:rRNA from 1 species